CAGUACACAGCAAAAAAUAAUGUAAUCCGCCUCGAUGUAAUGCGACUGAUGUAUCAGAAAACCGAUGUAAUCGCUUUUUUCAGAUGCACAAUCACACCGAUUUUGCGUAGAAUCACAUCUGUCUCAACAUUACACAAAAAACAAAUAACGAUUCUCCUUUCCGUUAUGUUUGUGUAAUAUUCACAUCGAGCAAAUGUGAAUAUUACACAGAAACAGCUGCAACCAACUGGUUGUGCCAACAUUGUGUACGAUUACACAAAGUCGAUGUCAUAUCACAUUAGUUUGCGAUGCAAUAUUAUGUCUCGCAACACUGCUGUCAUCGACCGCAGUCUCGCGAUCCAGGCCGAUCAAGCAGCCAUGUUUUUUUUUUUUCAUCUCAUCGGAGUGGCUGCUGUUUUUUCUACUUUUGUUGGUGAAGAUCCCGACGAGCAGAUGCUGAACCUGGAAACUGAAUGCAAGCGGAUGAUAGUGAGCGGCCAAUUUGGCUGUCACCCGAAGAGAUUUCACCGGUUUCCCUCAAGCUCCCUCUUCAAAGUAAGCGUUCCAGCUGGUUCCAGCAAAUCAGAAGGUUUUGUUCCAAAUCGAUGGUAUCAUAAUGAAGCCACUUCCGGGCUAUUGCAGAAAGUAUGUGACCGCUGAAGGCGCCCUAAGAAAUUG